rnacentral:tRNA from 1 species
AAUUCUUUUAUUAGAAAUAA